AUUGAACGCUGGCGGCAGGCCUAACACAUGCAAGUCGAACGAGUGGCGGACGGGUGAGUAAUGUCUGGGAAACUGCCCGAUGGAGGGGGAUAACUACUGGAAACGGUAGCUAAUACCGCAUACCAUCGGAUGUACCCAGAUGGGAUGAGCUUGUAGGUGGGGUAACGGCUAACCUGGUCGACGAUCCCUAGCUGGUCUGAGAGGAUGACCAGCGACACUGGAACUGAGACACGGCGCAGACGCCUACGUGAGGAAGCAGGGGGGAAUAUUGCACAAGGGGCGCAAGCCUGAUGCAGCCAUGCCGCGUGUAUGAAGAAGGCCUUCGGGUUGUAAAGUACUUUAAGUGGGGAGGCGUUACUCGCAGAAGAAGCACCGGCUAACUCCGUGCCAGCAGCCGCGGUAAUUC
rnacentral:rRNA from 1 species